rnacentral:rRNA from 1 species
UACAGAGGGGGCAAGCGUUGUUCGGAAUUACUGGGCGUAAAGGGCGCGUAGGCGGCCUGUUAAGUCGAACGUGAAAUCCCUGGGCUCAACCCAGGAACUGCGUCCGAUACUGGCAGGCUUGAAUCCGGGAGAGGGAUGCGGAAUUCCAGGUGUAGAGGUGAAAUUCGUAGAUAUCGGGAGGAACACCAGUGGCGAAGGCGGCGAUCUGGGCAGAUACUGACGCUGAGGCACGAAGGCCAGGGGAGCAAACGGG